GUGCUUGCUUUGGCAGCACAUACAGUAAAAUUGGAAUGAUACGGGGAAUAUUAGCAUGGCCUUGUGCAAGGAUGAUACACAAAUUCGUGAAGCGUUCCAUAUUUUU